rnacentral:rRNA from 1 species
GACGAACGCUGGCGGCGUGCUUAACACAUGCAAGUCGAGCGGAAAGGCCCACUUGUGGGUACUCGAGCGGCGAACGGGUGAGUAACACGUGAGUAAUCUGCCCUCUACUUUGGGAUAGCCACCGGAAACGGUGAUUAAUACCGGAUAUGACAUACUGGCGCAUGUUGGUGUGUGGAAACUUUUUGGGUAGGGGAUGUGCUCGCGGCCUAUCAGCUUGAUGGUGGGGUAAUGGCCUACCAUGGCUUCGACGGGUAGCCGGCCUGAGAGGGUGACCGGUCACACUGGGACUGAGACACGGCCCAGACUCCUACGGGAGGCAGCAGUGGGGAAUAUUGGACAAUGGGCGGAAGCCUGAUCCAGCAACGCCGCGUGAGGGAUGACGGCCUUCGGGUUGUAAACCUCUUUCAUCACAGACGAAGCCUUUGGGUGACGGUAUGUGGAGAAGAAGCACCGGCCAACUACGUG